GACGAACGCUGGCGGCGUGCCUAAUACAUGCAAGUAGAACGCUGAAGGAGGAGCUUGCUUCUCUGGAUGAGUUGCGAACGGGUGAGUAACGCGUAGGUAACCUGCCUGGUAGCGGGGGAUAACUAUUGGAAACGAUAGCUAAUACCGCAUAAUAGUAGAUGUUGCAUGACAUUUGCUUAAAAGUUGCAAUUGCAUCACUACCAUAUGGACCUGCGUUGUAUUAGCUAGUUGGUGGGGUAACGGCUCACCAAGGCGACGAUACAUAGCCGACCUGAGAGGGUGAUCGGCCAAACUGGGACUGAGACACGGCCCAGACUCCUACGGGAGGCAGCAGUAGGGAAUCUUCGGCAAUGGACGGAAGGCUGACCGAGCAACGACGCGUGAGUGAAGAAGGUUUUCGGAUCGGAAAGCUCUGUUGUAAGAGAAGGAAGAGUGUGAGAGUGGAAAGUUCACACUGUGACGGUAUCUUACCAGAAAGGGACGGCUAACUACGUG
rnacentral:rRNA from 1 species